rnacentral:rRNA from 1 species
AGAGCGAACGCUGGCGGCAGGCUUAACACAUGCAAGUCGAGCGGGCGUAGCAAUACGUCAGCGGCAGACGGGUGAGUAACGCGUGGGAACGUACCUUUUGGUUCGGAACAACACAGGGAAACUUGUGCUAAUACCGGAUAAGCCCUUACGGGGAAAGAUUUAUCGCCGAAAGAUCGGCCCGCGUCUGAUUAGCUAGUUGGUGAGGUAACGGCUCACCAAGGCGACGAUCAGUAGCUGGUCUGAGAGGAUGAUCAGCCACAUUGGGACUGAGACACGGCCCAAACUCCUACGGGAGGCAGCAGUGGGGAAUAUUGGACAAUGGGCGCAAGCCUGAUCCAGCCAUGCCGCGUGAGUGAUGAAGGCCCUAGGGUUGUAAAGCUCUUUUGUGCGGGAAGAUAAUGACGGUACCGCAAGAAUAAGCCCGGCUAACUCGCGCCAGCAGCCGC